rnacentral:lncRNA from 1 species
AUUCGCUUCUAGGGAUGUUCCAAACCCCAAAUGCAUUGUGACUGUCUUCCCAUUAGUCAGUGGUAUUUAAAGAGGUUUAAUCAAUAAGCAAAGUCUGUACAUUUCUCCAUCUAGAUUCCUUCUCUGGUGCCACUGCAGAGGGAAGCAUUCCGCACGUCAGCAUUUCUGUGGUGUGGCUGCUGGUGCUGAAGGUGUUCAGCUUGUGUGACUGAACGUCAUUCAUUUUUUCAACCUUGAAAGAUGUUUUUGCUGGACAUAGAGUUGUAAAUUGAUAGUUUUUUCCUUUGUCUCACUGUUUUGUCUCACUGUAUUGUUCACAGUAUUGUCUCACUGUUUCUUAGCCCAACCAUUUUCAGGGAGGAAUUUGUUGUCCUUACCUAUUGUCCCUCUACAUGUCUUUGACUGUGGCUUCUUUUAAGCUUUUUUUUCCUUAUUACCAGAUUUGUGCCAUUUGAUUGUGAUGUAUUGUAGUGUAGUUUUUGUGUUGUGUGUGCACACAUGCACGCUUUGGUUCUUUUAAUUUCUUAGAAUAUUGAGUUCAUGAUAUUUUAAAAUCAGAAUCACGAUUUUUUCAGCCAUUUUGUCUUCUAGCAAUUUUUCUUUCCUUUCUAUUCUUUCCUUCAAAGACUCCAAUUAUACAUAUUUUAGACCAUUUCAAAUUGUCCCAUAGUCGCGAUUGCUCUGAUAAGUCUCUCUUUCUCGAGUUUCAUUGGGUGGUCCCUCUUGUUGUGUCUCCUGGCUCACCAGCCCUUUUUCCCAUCCUCCGUGACGGCCUGCUGAUCUCUCAGCUCACACAGAGUUUUCAUUUCUGAAAGUCGGACUUGGAGCUUCGCGUUUGUGCUCAGCAUGUUCCGUCUCUGCUCUGACUCCUUGAGCAGGUGACACCCGUCCAGGGUCCUUUCCCAUCUCCUACCACCUGCUCCAUUUCUGGGUUGGCUUCCUUUUCUCCUCAUUGCCUCUUGUUGUGUCUGUUGUUUUAUUGGAUGGAAGACGUGUGCAGCUGACUUGUGCUGAGUGCUGAUCAUUUUUGUACUCCUGUAAAUAUUCUGGAGCUUUGUUGGGGACAUGAUUAACUUACCUUGAAGCAGUUCUGUCCUUUCAGGAUUUUCCUUCCAACUGCAUUCAGUGGAUGAGAGCAGCAGUUAACCCAGGGUCCAUUUUGCUUUUACUGAGGCAGAGACAUCCCCGCCACGUAUUAUUUUGGUAAAGGUGCACACUUUGGGUAUUUUUCCCUCUGAUCCUUCCAGGCAGUUCUUCUGCCAGGCUCAGGAAGUUUCCUCACAUCCGAAGACCCCGGGGGCCGCUCAGCGACCUGAGUUUAUUCUCUCCCGCCUUCCCCCUCCUUCUUCCCAGCUCUCUGCACACCUCAGUCAGAACCCGCCAUCUCUUCUUCCCAAGCUCCACCGCUCAGUUCUCUUCCUCCUCUCCCAGUGCCCACCGUCCUUUGUCCCUGAUGUCUAGUUUGUUUUGAAGAUUAUUCUUUCACUUAUUUUGUCUGGAGUUGUUUCUUACAGGAUGGGAAACCCAAUCUCUGUAUUCCCUUUUGGCUAAAUGUGGGACUGAAGCUUUAUUUUCUUACCGAUGGAUUAACUAAAAUGCCCCUGAACACCUGGCUACUGGACAUCUGUGGAUGCUGUGCCAAAGGUCACUAUGGAAAAUCCUCAAAUUCCAAGCAGCUUAUGUAUGGUAUGAGAGAAUUCCGUAGGAAUUUUCUCAAACUUGAUGAAACGUCACAUAUACCCAUCACUCAAUCUUCAAUAAACGUAUCCCCUCCUCGAUCCACCAUGGCCUGGUUCAGAAAGGCUGUGGCCACUUGAGCACCCACUACCAUGAAAGAAGAUGGAGGGAGUUCGGAAUGGAAGGAGACGGGCAUUUCAUUUCCAAUAAGUACAUGAUCAUGGAUUCAGAGAAUUUGAAGGAAUGAGAGAUUUGUAACUUGGAAAUGGCCUUUCCUUGUGGGAGGCCUGGGGCUUAAGCAUCAUCAGCUUCACAGUACAUCUGACUGGUUUUGUUGUUGUUGUUGUUUCGACUCAAUCUCUGGAUGACCUGGGGCAAGGGUAGACUCCACAGUGGGAGGCUAGAAGAGGGAAGAAUGUUCCUUUGCGUUCUCCCCAUUUUGGUGACAGAGGUGGCAUAUAGACUCUGGUCUCUCUCUCUCUCUCUCUCUCUCUCUCUCUCUCUCUCUCUCUCUCUCGAUGAGCACAUCAGGAGCCACCUGUCCCCCUCAAACAGACUUUUCAUGUGUAAGGAAGCGAAAGGAAGCAAGGUGUUGUUCUAAGUGUUACCAGGAUGAUUUAAAAGCAGGUUUUCACAGCAUUGAAGUUGUAUCUUCGCGUUGAUUUCAUACAAUUUACCAAAAAACACUCUCUGUUCAGCAGAUCAAAGACGGAUUAUUGAACAAUGUGUAAAGUUGGAUGUUAUUAUUUCUCUUGCAUUAUAGAUUCUAAAGGCAAUAUCUGCCAGUUGGGAAGGAUUCAUUCCUAUAGCUCCUUCACAUUUUUGAAGUUUUUUUUGAAUAGUGGGGGAAUUUUGCCCUUAAGAUUAUGUUAACCAUCCUCCUGUUCUCUGGGUCUUCUAAUUCAGCGUUCCUGUACUUUCAGUAUGCCUAAUAAAUUGUUUCUAAAAAUUCAGAGGGAUCCUCA